rnacentral:rRNA from 1 species
AGUGAACGCUGGCGGUAGGCCUAACACAUGCAAGUCGAACGGCAGCACAGUAAGAGCUUGCUCUUACGGGUGGCGAGUGGCGGACGGGUGAGGAAUACAUCGGAAUCUACUUUUUCGUGGGGGAUAACGUAGGGAAACUUACGAUAAUACCGCAUACGACCUACGGGUGAAAGCAGGGGAUCUUCGGACCUUGCGCGAUUGAAUGAGCUGAUGUCGGAUUAGCUAGUUGGCGGGGUAAAGGCCCACCAAGGCGACGAUCCGUAGCUGGUCUGAGAGGAUGAUCAGCCACACUGGAACUGAGACACGGUCCAGACUCCUACGGGAGGCAGCAGUGGGGAAUAUUGGACAAUGGGCGCAAGCCUGAUCCAGCCAUACCGCGUGAGUGAAGAAGGCCUUCGGGUUGUAAAGCCCUUUUAUUGGGAAAGAAAAACAGCAGGUUAAUACCCCGCUGUUCUGACGGUACCCAAAGAAUAAGCACCGGCUAACUUCGUG